CCUACGGGAUGCAGCAGUGGGGAAUAUUGCACAAUGGGGGACACCCUGAUGCAGCGACGCCGCGUGAGUGAAGCAGUCUUUCGGUAUGUAAAGCUCUAUCCGCAGGGAAGACACUGACGGUACCUGACUAAGAAGCCCCGGCUAACUACGUGCCAGCAGCCGCGGUAAUACGUAGGGGGCAAGCGUUAUCCGGAUUUACUGGGUGUAAAGGGAGCGUAGACGGCCAGACAAGUCAGAAGUGAAAGCCCAGGGAUCAAACAUGGGACUGCUUUUGAAAUUGCCGGGCUGGAGGGCAGGAGAGGUAAGCGGAAUUCCUAGUGUAGCGGGUAAAUGCGUAGAGAUUAGGAGGAACACCAGUGGCGAAGGCGGCUUACUGGACUGGAACUGACGUUGAGGCUCGAAAGCGUGGGGAGCAAACAGGAUUAGAUACCCGGGUAGUC
rnacentral:rRNA from 1 species